AGCGCUCGCUGGCGGCAGGCCUAACACAUGCAAGUCGAACGAAGUCUUCGGACUUAGUGGCGGACGGGUGAGUAACACGUGGGAACGUACCUUUUGGUUCGGAACAACUUAUGGAUACUUGAGCUAAUACCGGAUGAGCCCUUAGGGGGAAAGAUUUAUCGCGGAAAGAACGGCCCGCGUUAGAUUAGCUAGUUGGUGAGGUAAAGGCUCACCAAGGCUACGAUCUAUAGCUGGUCUGAGAGGAUGAUCAGCCAAACUGGGACUGAUACACGGCCCAGACUCCUACGGGAGGCAGGAGUGGGGAAUCUUGCGCAAUGGGCGAAAGCCUGACGCAGCCAUGCCGCGUGAAUGAUGAAGGUCUUAGGAUUGUAAAAUUCUUUUACCAGGGACGAUAAUGACGGUACCUGGAGAAAAAGCCCCGGCUAACUUCGUGCCAGCCGCCGCCGUAAUAC
rnacentral:rRNA from 1 species